CCUAUUCGACAGUGUAAUUAAUUUUUAUCCGAAAAACAUACAGUGCCGUACAUAAAGAGCCCUAAAGUGUUUACUAAUCAAGCUUAUCUUGCAUGGUGUACAACAUAUAUUGUGCCGUAGUACCAGGGUUACCUGCCCAGAUCUUUUGGUUUCAUCUUCAUCACUAUCCUACCAGAUCAUCAUCGACUUUCUCUUGAAGGACAACUGAAGAUACUGUCGUGGAGAACUGAUAUCUGUUUUGCCCAUACAGUGGAAGACCAGUAGGACCCAAACCUUCGAGCUCCAAAAGGAACAUAAAGACAUCAAAUCUCCAUUAAAUAUCAUCUAUUGCAUCAUCAGAGUUUAAAUCAGC